rnacentral:lncRNA from 1 species
CCAGCUCUAAAUGUUGGUUGGAUGCAUGAGAGGAAAUGUACUUGAUCCUCUGCUCGGCUAGGCCGUGGAUGACCAGUACUUCCUUGAGAAAGACUCGCAUCGGUAUCGAGGUAGUUCAUCACUCCCUCCACCAUGAACUAUGCUUUUUCUUUGGUUGCUCUCCCAAGUUUUGUGAAUGUUGUGUGUCAUGUUCUUGCUAAAUUCAAGGGAUUGUGUUCUUAAUCAGUCCUGAUGUUUUAGAUAAUGGAGGUGUUGCUUAUUUGG